rnacentral:rRNA from 1 species
CCUACGGGUGGCAGCAGUGAGGAAUAUUGGUCAAUGGACGAGCGUCUGAACCAGCCAAGUAGCGUGAAGGAUGACUGCCCUAUGGGUUGUAAACUUCUUUUAUAUGGGAAUAAAAUGUGCCACGUGUGGCAUUUUGUAUGUAACAUGUGAAUAAGGAUCGGCUAACUCCGUGCCAGCAGCCGCGGUAAUACGGAGGAUCCGAGCGUUAUCCGGAUUUAUUGGGUUUAAAGGGAGCGUAGGCGGAAUGUAAAGUCAGGUGUUAAAGGCGCAGGCUCAACCUGUGUAUGGCAGUUGAUACUUGCAAUCUGGAAUGCGGUAGAGGUAAAGGGAAGUCGUGGUGUAGCGGUGAAAUGCUUAGAUAUCAGGAGGAACACCGGUGGCGUAAGCAGUUUACUGGGCCGUAAUUGACGCUGAGGAACGAAAGCGAGGGUAUCAAACGGGAUUAGAUACCCGAGUAGUC